GCCUCAUGUCAUCCCCAAUCUACAUGCAUCUACAUCUCCACCACAUGAGUCUGGUCGAUCGGAAGCUAAUGUCAAUGAGGAUACUUUUGACCCUAAUGGCGCCUUCAGUUUUCUUAAUGAUCCAACCCCUCCCCAGAUAGAAUCAACUUCCGACCGUACGGUUGGCCUUUCAAUUGUUCUGAACCAGGAGGUACUUGCUAAUACAUUGGCAAAUCCCACAAAGGAAGGCUCUGCUGAAGGCAAGGACGGCAAUACAGAUGAUGCUAUCGAUG